rnacentral:lncRNA from 1 species
CCCAAAAUCAUUGUGGUGGCUGAUGGCUCCCAUGGGGAGACCUGCUCUGUUCUGGGGCUCAGUCCAGAUUAUGUAGUGGAAUCCUGCAAUGCUUAUGGAGCUAACGCCACCAUCACGAGACUGGACCAGAGACAGGUCAUGAAGACCAUCUUCCACCAAGCGUUCAACGCCUACAAGAUGGACAUCGAGCCCCGCGUGAGGGACGCCGCCAUGUCCCGGGUGCAGUGCAGCAGAAGGCUGUUUGAGAUCACGCUGUCCCACCGGCGGGCCACAGCUGCCUACAUCCAGGGCAUAGGCAGGGUAGUCACUGUGGAGGGAGAGGCAGCUCGAGUGCUCAACUUUGACACGGGAUCUGGGGUGAAUCUUGGGCUCCAGGGCCUGGAGUCUUUGGAAGAAUUCAUUGGCAAGAUCGCGACAGCUGUGGAUCAGAGCGACAUCUUGGAAGCUUUGGCUGCCAAAAUAAGACACUCUAAACAGGUGGUGGAAGACUUUAAACAGAAUGGACUCCUCACGACAAUUUUCAAGUGACUGGGGGCAACACGACUGCCCCCGCCCCCC